AGCCGAGGGAGCGGGGAGGCAGAAGCAAAAACCGAAGGGAAUUGGCUUAAGAGGGCAAACGGCGACUCCAUAUUAAGUCUUCCCCGAGUACAAAGUUGCCAUGA